rnacentral:rRNA from 1 species
CCUACGGGAGGCAGCAGUCGAGAAUCAUUCACAAUGGGGGAAACCCUGAUGGUGCGACGCCGCGUGGGGGAAUGAAGGCCUUCGGAUUGUAAACCCCUGUCAUGUGGGAGCAAAUUAAAAAGAUAGUACCACAAGAGGAAGAGACGGCUAACUCUGUGCCAGCAGCCGCGGUAAGACAGAGGUCUCAAGCGUUGUUCGGAAUCACGGGGCGUAAAGCGUGCGUAGGCUGUUUCGUAAGUCGUGUGUGAAAGGCGCGGGCUCAACCCGCGGACGGCACAUGAUACUGCGAGACUAGAGUAAUGGAGGGGGAACCGGAAUUCUCGGUGUAGCAGUGAAAUGCGUAGAUAUCGAGAGGAACACUCGUGGCGAAGGCGGGUUCCUGGACAUUAACUGACGCUGAGGCACGAAGGCCAGGGGAGCGAAAGGGAUUAGAUACCCUAGUAGUC